rnacentral:misc_RNA from 1 species
GAUGAAGAACGUAGCGAAAUGCGAUAAGUAAUGUGAAUUGCAGAACUCAGUGAAUCAUCGAAUCUUUGAACGCACAUUGCGCCCCUUGGUAUUCCGAGGGGCAUGCCUGUUCGAGCGUCAUUUCAACCCUCAAGCACAGCUUGGUCUUGGGCUUCGCCGCUAACCCGGCGGGUCUUAAAAUCAGUGGCGGUGCCGUCGGGCCCUGAGCGCAGUAAUCUCUCUCGCUAUAGGGUCCCGGCGGAUGCUGGCCAGUAACCCCCAAUUUUCUAUGGUUGACCUCGGAUCAGGUAGGGAUACCCGCUGAACUUAAGCAUAUCAAUAAGCGGGGA